GUUAAGCGACUAAGCGUACACGGUGGAUGCCCUGGCAGUCAGAGGCGAUGAAGGACGUGCUAAUCUGCGAUAAGCGUCGGUAAGGUGAUAUGAACCGUUAUAACCGGCGAUUUCCGAAUGGGGAAACCCAGUGUGAUUCGUCACACUAUCAUUAACUGAAUCCAUAGGUUAAUGAGGCGAACCGGGGGAACUGAAACAUCUAAGUACCCCGAGGAAAAGAAAUCAACCGAGAUUCCCCCAGUAGCGGCGAGCGAACGGGGAGCAGCCCAGAGCCUGAAUCAGUGUGUGUGUUAGUGGAAGCGUCUGGAAAGGCGUGCGAUACAGGGUGACAGCCCCGUACACAAAAAUGCACAUACUGU
rnacentral:rRNA from 1 species